rnacentral:tRNA from 1 species
UAAAGCAGUAGCUCAAAUGUUAGAGCACCUGACAUGUGUUCGGGAAGAUCCAGGUUCGAUUCCUGGCUCGGUAAUUAA